rnacentral:rRNA from 1 species
AGGUGGCUUUUGGGCUGUCGCAGAUGGAUGAGCCUGCGUUGGAUUAGCUAGUUGGUGGGGUAAGGGCCUACCAAGGCUACGAUCCAUAGCUGAUUUGAGAGGAUGAUCAGCCACAUUGGGACUGAGACACGGCCCAAACUCCUACGGGAGGCAGCAGUGAGGAAUAUUGGACAAUGGGGGCAACCCUGAUCCAGCAAUGCCAUGUGUGUGAAGAAGGCCUUAGGGUUGUAAAGCACUUUAGUUGGGGAAGAAAGCUUUGAGGUUAAUAGCCUUGAGGAAGGACGUUACCCAAAGAAUAAGCACCGGCUAACUCCGUGCCAGCAGCCGCGGUAAUACGGGGGGUGCAAGCGUUAAUCGGAAUUACUGGGCGUAAAGGGUCUGUAGGUGGUUUGUUAAGUCAGAUGUGAAAGCCCAGGGCUCAACCUUGGAACUGCAUUUGAUACUGGCAAACUAGAGUACGGUAGAGGAAUGGGGAAUUUCUGGUGUAGCGGUGAAAUGCGUAGAGAUCAGAAGGAACACCAAUGGCGAAGGCAACAUUCUGGACCGAUACUGACACUGAGGGACGAAAGCGUGGGGAUCAAACAGGAUUAGAUACCCUGGUAGUCCACGCUGUAAACGAUGAGUACUAGCUGUUGGAGUCGGUGUAAAGGCUCUAGUGGCGCAGCUAACGCGAUAAGUACUCCGCCUGGGGAACUACGGCCGCAAGGCUAAAACUCAAAGGAAUUGACGGGGACCCGCACAAGCGGUGGAGCAUGUGGUUUAAUUCGAUGCAACGCGAAGAACCUUACCUGGUCUUGACAUCCUGCGAGCUUUCUAGAGAUAGAUUGGUGCCUUCGGGAACGCAGUGACAGGUGCUGCAUGGCUGUCGUCAGCUCGUGUUGUGAAAUGUU